rnacentral:rRNA from 1 species
ACUAGCCCGGAGAUGAUAUCUGAGACACGAUAUCAGGCCCUACGGGGCGCAGCAGGCGCGAAAACUUCGCACUGUGCGAAAGCACGACGAGGGAAUCCCAAGUGCUGGCUCGUAAGAGUCAGCUGUUUCUUUGUCUAAAAACAGAGAGAGUAAGGGCUGGGUAAGACGGGUGCCAGCCGCCGCGGUAAUACCUGCAGCCCAAGUGGUGGCCGCUAUUAUUGGGCCUAAAACGUCCGUAGCCGGUUCUAUAAAUGCCUGGGUAAAUCGUACGACUUAACCGUACGAAUUCCGGGUAGACUGUUCAACUUGGGACCGGGAGAGGCUAGAGGUACUCCUGGGGUAGAGGUGAAAUUCUGUAAUCCUAGGGGGACCACCAGUGGCGAAGGCGUCUAGCUAGAACGGGUCUGACGGUGAGGGACGAAGCCCUGGGGCGCAAACCGGAUUAGAUACCCGGGUAGUCCAGGGUGUAAACGCUGCUCGCUUGAUGUUAGUUGAGCUCCGUGCUCAACUAGUGUCGGAGAGAAGUUGUUAAGCGAGCUGCCUGGG